AGGCAAAGGGCUGGGGGUUGAGGGCAACAAGAACUGGAGCUGGUGGGAGAGAGGGGUUCUGCAGAGGCGGGGAGGGGUGAGAACCACACCCACACCGGGCACACAGGACUUCUGCAUAUUUGUGCCCGGCUCGGCUGACCACUAGAGGCAGCCUGGCUGGGCAGCGUCCAUCCGGAGUCAGAGGUCUGGGCUGCGAUCCACAGCCACCAUGUGUGCCGGCCUUGGGCGUGCAGCAGGCUCCACCCAGCCUGUUUCUUCGCACACGCAGUAGAGAAACUGUGCGGACUCCCACCCAGGAGUUGAUUCAACAACAGACCAGGAUCAGAGGCUGCAGGUACCAAAACCAAGGAGCGCUUUCCUUUGGGGGUCCCUAUCAGGCACUUGGAGAAGAUGUAGGAAAAGCACUCAGCACAGUAUCAGACCCAGCAGCAUGACUUCUUCCUUCUUAGGAUGCUGGCACCCCUGGAAGAAAUGGACCAAGACGCCAGAUCCUAUCUCUUUCCCCUCUGUUGUGAUGUAAUGGAUUUCUUGCUCCUGGUCCCAGUCACAAAGCCUCGAAAAGCCGCGCCUGAGAUCACGAACCCUGGCCCUUUUUUUUGCCAGCAGGAGCGGGAAUUGGCUGCAGCUCCCCUCCGAAGCUCCUUGCCUACACACCUGGCCACCUGCUCAGGGGCCCCAUCCCAGCAGCUGCACACACUCAUGCCUCUGUGUCCUUCAAACCCUCCCUUCUCUCACCGUCUCUCUUCGUCCAAACCUGCCUGGAUCCAGGGCCGCCUGUGUAAAUGUUGCACUGUCCCCCAGAGGUGCCAGGCAAGAUGGCCCUUUCUUUACAAGCACUUUCCCCCUAAACCAACUAGUUCCUAUCAAGUUGGCGCUCUAAUUUGUGGAUGAAUUAAGCAGGCAGGUGAAUGCACAAUGGAUCAGAAGCUGAAGUGCUCUGGGCUGGGAGAUGGGUGCAGAGGCUUGCUGUGUUAAUAGCCAGUAACAGCCAAGCACCUACUGUGUGCCUGUACCUCACAGCUCCUGGGGACACGAGGCCACCAGGAACCCCAACACGGAGAUCCACUGGGCUGCCAAGGGAGCCUGAUGACCCCGUACAGCCAUCAAGGAAGGAGUCACCAGGCAAAGGGCCAGGCAGGGUGGGGUCAGGUGGGGGUCUUCUAGGCAAAAGAGUGGAGCUUACUUGGCACCGAGUAAGUCCUUUGUAGCACAUGCCACUUGUCUUACCGUUACACUUUGGUAUUUAACUCCCCCUAGACUAAACUCCAGGACAGGGCGAGGACCAGAUGGUGCCUUCUGGGCUGAGCAUGACAGUUCUGGCAGCAGCCUAACUCAUUAAACAUUAACCAGUGGAAUAUUCAGGAACCUGCAGGUGGCUCAGACUGGCCCCAGGUAGAGAGUGUAAGGAGGAAGCUGCAGUGGAGCGCUGGGAAGAGCCAGGCUUUCUCCAUCUGGCACUGGGGAAUAUGGGGGGGGGGGGUGCGGUCCUUAAACAGGAAAGACACAGGUAGUCAGUCAUGGUUUAGAAUAUUCCUCAUACUCUGGGGUCCGCAGCAGGGGCUGCACCAGGCAGGCAGCGAGAAACAGGGCCGCAGUUACCCAGGCGAGGAGGCUUGAGUCUAGAGGCAGUGGAGUGGUGCGCUCUGAGAAGGCAUUUGGGAACCCCAGGUGUGUGCCACCGAGGCAGAGCAGGCUUCUGGGCUGCAGGCUUCCAGGCUGCGGGCUCCAGAUGGGAAGAAGACGCCCAGUUAACCCACCCCACAAGGGCACAGGGUGGUCCUGGGAGGCGUGUGCCAGCCCAUCACUGGUACUAGCACAUUCAGAGUUUAACCCUUCUGCCCUCACACUUGUAUUUUCUUUGCCUUUUUAAUCAACUCAUGUGUUAACACAUUUAUAUACUUUAAAAGUGAACAUUAGAUAGAGCACAGGGGUAGAGUGCUUGCAAAGCAUCACGAGAGGCCCUGGGCUCAAUCCCCAGUGCUAUAGAUAAAUAAAGUGAUUAUUAGGGAGUCAUAUUGUUCUCUAUACUCUUGUGUGUAUUUUCAA
ensembl:lncRNA